AUUCCAGCUCUAAUAGCGUAUAUUAAAGUUGUUGCAGUUAAAAAGCUCGUAGUCGGAUGUCGGGCUCGGGCAGGCUGUCGGCUUCGGUCGGACGGCAGGCUCGGGUCUUUCUGCCUGAGGAUCCCGUUGCACUUAAUUGUGGGGCGUGGGGACGCAGGCCGUUUACUUUGAAAAAAUUAGAGUGUUCAAAGCAGGCCUACGCUUGAAUACAUUAGCAUGGAAUAAUGGAAUAGGACUUUGGUGCUAUUUUGUUGGUUUAUGGGACCGAAGUAAUGAUUAACAGGGACAGUUGGGGCCGUUUAUAUUUCGUUGUCAGAGGUGAGAUUCUUGGAUUUAUUGAAGACGAACUACUGCGAAAGCAUUCAUCAAGGAUGUUUUCAUUG
rnacentral:rRNA from 1 species